UACGAAGGGGGCUAGCGUUGCUCGGAAUCACUGGGCGUAAAGCGCACGUAGGCGGACUCUUAAGUCGGUGGUGAAAUCCUGGAGCUCAACUCCAGAACUGCCUUCGAUACUGGGAGUCUUGAGUCCGGGAGAGGUGAGUGGAACUGCGAGUGUAGAGGUGAAAUUCGUAGAUAUUCGCAAGAACACCAAUGGCGAAGGCAGCUCGCUGGGACGGUACUGACGCUGAGACGCGAAAGCGUGGGGAGCGAACAGG
rnacentral:rRNA from 1 species